AUUGAACGCUGGCGGAAUGCUUUACACAUGCAAGUCGAACGGUAGAGGGGGCAACCCCUCGAGAGUGGCGAACGGGUGAGUAAUAUAUCGGAACGUGCCCAGUCGUGGGGGAUAACGUAGCGAAAGUUACGCUAAUACCGCGUACGAUCUAAGGAUGAAAGCGGGGGAUCGCAAGACCUCGCGCGAUUGGAGCGGCCGAUAUCAGAUUAGGUAGUUGGUGGGGUAAAGGCUCACCAAGCCAACGAUCUGUAGCUGGUCUGAGAGGACGACCAGCCACACUGGAACUGAGACACGGUCCAGACUCCUACGGGAGGCAGCAGUGGGGAAUUUUGGACAAUGGACGCAAGUCUGAUCCAGCCAUUCCGCGUGCAGGAUGAAGGCCCUCGGGUUGUAAACUGCUUUUGUACGGAACGAAAAGGUCUCUCUUAAUACGGGGGGCUCAUGACGGUACCGUAAGAAUAGGCACCGGCUAACUACGUGCCAGCAGCCGCAGUAA
rnacentral:rRNA from 1 species